rnacentral:rRNA from 1 species
GGGGCACCCUGAUCCAGCAAUGCCGCGUGUGUGAAGAAGGCCUUCGGGUUGUAAAGCACUUUUGUCCGGAAAGAAAACGUCUUGGUUAAUACCUGAGGCGGAUGACGGUACCGGAAGAAUAAGCACCGGCUAACUACGUGCCAGCAGCCGCGGUAAUACGUAGGGUGCGAGCGUUAAUCGGAAUUACUGGGCGUAAAGCGUGCGCAGGCGGUCUGUUAAGACCGAUGUGAAAUCCCCGGGCUUAACCUGGGAACUGCAUUGGUGACUGGCAGGCUUUGAGUGUGGCAGAGGGGGGUAGAAUUCCACGUGUAGCAGUGAAAUGCGUAGAGAUGUGGAGGAAUACCGAUGGCGAAGGCAGCCCCCUGGGCCAACACUGACGCUCAUGCACGAAAGCGUGGGGAGCAAACAGGAUUAGAUACCCUGGUAGUCCACGCCCUAAACGAUGUCAACUAGUUGUUGGGGAUUCAUUUCCUUAGUAACGUAGCUAACGCGUGAAGUUGACCGCCUGGGGAGUACGGUCGCAAGAUUAAAACUCAAAGGAAUUGACGGGGACCCGCACAAGCGGUGGAUGAUGUGGAUUAAUUCGAUGCAACGCGAAAAACCUUACCUACCCUUGACAUGGUCGGAAGUCUGCUGAGAG